rnacentral:rRNA from 1 species
GUUGACCUCGGAUCAAGUAAGGAUACCCGU